rnacentral:rRNA from 1 species
UUUAGUAUUUGGUCGUAGACCCGAAACCAGGUGAUCUACCCUUGGUCAGGUUGAAGUUCAGGUAACACUGAAUGGAGGACCGAACCGACUUACGUUGAAAAGUGAGCGGAUGAACUGAGGGUAGCGGAGAAAUUCCAAUCGAACCUGGAGAUAGCUGGUUCUCUCCGAAAUAGCUUUAGGGCUAGCCUCAAGUGAUGAUUAUUGGAGGUAGAGCACUGUUUGGACGAGGGGCCCCUCUCGGGUUACCGAAUUCAGACAAACUCCGAAUGCCAAUUAAUUUAACUUGGGAGUCAGAACAUGGGUGAUAAGGUCCGUGUUCGAAAGGGAAACAGCCCAGACCACCAGCUAAGGUCCCAAAAUAUAUGUUAAGUGGAAAAGGAUGUGGCGUUGCCCAGACAACUAGGAUGUUGGCUUAGAAGCAGCCAUCAUUUAAAGAGUGCGUAAUAGCUCACUAGUCGAGUGACACUGCGCCGAAAAUGUACCGGGGCUAAACAUAUUACCGAAGCUGUGGAUUGUCCUUUGGACAAUGGUAGGAGAGCGUUCUAAGGGCGUUGAAGCAUGAUCGUAAGGACAUGUGGAGCGCUUAGAAGUGAGAAUGCCGGUGUGAGUAGCGAAAGACGGGUGAGAAUCCCGUCCACCGAUUGACUAAGGUUUCCAGAGGAAGGCUCGUCCGCUCUGGGUUAGUCGGGUCCUAAGCUGAGGCCGACAGGCGUAGGCGAUGGAUAACAGGUUGAUAUUCCUGUACCACCUAUAAUCGUUUUAAUCGAUGGGGGGACGCAGUAGGAUAGGCGAAGCGUGCGAUUGGAUUGCACGUCUAAGCAGUAAGGCUGAGUAUUAGGCAAAUCCGGUACUCGUUAAGGCUGAGC